rnacentral:rRNA from 2 species
GUCUUUAAGAUAUUUAAUUUAAAGUCUAAUCUGCCCAAUGAAAUUUUUAAAUGGCUGCAGAACUCUAACUGUACAAAGGUAGCAUAAUAAUUUGUUUUUUAAUUAAAAACUUGAAUGAAAGAUUAAAUGAAAUAUAAACUAUUUCAAUUAAAUUUUAUAUUAAAUUUUUUAUUUAAGUAAAAAAACUUAAAUAAAAUUUAAAGACGACAAGACCCUAUAGAAUUUUAUUUAUAUAUUUAUAUAAAUAAAUAUAUUAAAUUUUAUUGGGGUAAUAAAAAAAUUUAAUUAAUUUUUUUUUAAAAACACAUUAAUUAAUGAACAUAAAAUCUUAAUUUUUAAAUUAAAAAAAUUAAUUACCUUAGGGAUAACAGCAUAAUUUUUUUUAAAAGAUCUUAUUAAUAAAAAAGAUUGU